AGAGUUUGAUCCUGGCUCAGGACGAACGCUGGCGGCACGCUUAACACAUGCAAGUCGAACGAGAGAAGAGGAGCUUGCUUUUCUGAUCUAGUGGCGGACGGGUGAGUAACACGUGAGCAAUCUGCCUUUCAGAGGGGGAUACCGAUUGGAAACGAUCGUUAAUACCGCAUAACAUAAUUGAACCGCAUGAUUUGAUUAUCAAAGAUUUAUCGCUGAAAGAUGAGCUCGCGUCUGAUUAGCUAGUUGGUAAGGUAACGGCUUACCAAGGCGACGAUCAGUAGCCGGACUGAGAGGUUGAUCGGCCACAUUGGGACUGAGACACGGCCCAGACUCCUACGGGAGGCAGCAGUGGGGAAUAUUGCACAAUGGAGGAAACUCUGAUGCAGCGAUGCCGCGUGAGGGAAGAAGGUUUUAGGAUUGUAAACCUCUGUCUUCAGGGACGAAAAAAGACGGUACCUGAGGAGGAAGCUCCGGCUAACUACGUGCCAGCAGCCGCGGUAAUACGUAGGGAGCGAGCGUUGUCCGGAAUUACUGGUGUAAAGGGAGCGUAGGCGGGAUCGCAAGUCAGAUGUGAAAACUAUGGGCUUAACCCAUAAACUGCAUUUGAAACUGUGGUUCUUGAGUGAAGUAGAGGUAAGCGGAAUUCCUAGUGUAGCGGUGAAAUGCGUAGAUAUUAGGAGGAACAUCAGUGGCGAAGGCGGCUUACUGGGCUUUAACUGACGCUGAGGCUCGAAAGCGUGGGGAGCAAACAGGAUUAGAUACCCUGGUAGUCCACGCCGUAAACGAUGAUUACUAGGUGUGGGGGGACUGACCCCUUCCGUGCCGCAGCAAACGCAAUAAGUAAUCCACCUGGGGAGUACGACCGCAAGGUUGAAACUCAAAGGAAUUGACGGGGGCCCGCACAAGCAGUGGAGUAUGUGGAUUAAUUCGAAGCAACGCGAAGAACCUUACCAGGUCUUGACAUCGUAUGCAUAGCUCAGAGAUGAGUGAAAUCUCUUCGGAGACAUAUAGACAGGUGGUGCAUGGUUGUCGUCAGCUCGUGUCGUGAGAUGUUGGGUUAAGUCCCGCAACGAGCGCAACCCUUACUGUUAGUUGCUACGCAAGAGCACUCUAGCAGGACUGCCGUUGACAAAACGGAGGAAGGUGGGGAUGACGUCAAAUCAUCAUGCCCCUUAUGACCUGGGCCUCACACGUACUACAAUGGCUGUCAACAGAGGGAAGCAAAGCCGCGAGGUGGAGCGAACCCCUAAAAGCAGUCUUAGUUCGGAUUGUAGGCUGCAACCCGCCUACAUGAAGUCGGAAUUGCUAGUAAUCGCAGAUCAGCAUGCUGCGGUGAAUACGUUCCCGGGCCUUGUACACACCGCCCGUCACGCCAUGGGAGUCGGUAACACCCGAAGCCUGUAGUCUAACCGCAAGGAGGACGCAGUCGAAGGUGGGAUUGAUGACUGGGGUGAAGUCGUAACAAGGUA
rnacentral:rRNA from 1 species